GCGAUAAUCCUGCGAGCGAGUCAUUCACGUGGCUCUCGUCGUUUGUCACCCAGGCGAAAAGAAGAGAAAAUUGACGGUGGUUUCCGCAAAGUCAAGGACGCUCGAAAGUUUUUCUCAUGGAAUCACGUCGUUUCAACCACGAUCGAUACACGGGUCAGUCGUGAAACGAAAACAGGCUGGAACGACGAUCAAAGUGCAAUAAAUCGACGGCGACCGGCUGUGUGGCGCCACCCUGGAAACUUUCGCAACACCUGUUCGACAAAGCUCCCUGGAAAAGUUUAAUGAGAAACGAGGAAGAGACAACCGAGCGUGUGCGACGAAGAAUUAUGAUCGACAUACGGUCUUCAAACGGAUAAGAAGGAAUGCUUUCAAUGACGCCACGUCAAUGACAAACACCGAUCGCGAUUUCGUUGUUUCGACGUGAAAUUCUACACGGGAAGGAAAUCCCAUUACCUAAUAAUGGCACCAUCGAAGAAAGGGACGAGAAACUGGCUGGGCAAGAAACUAGUAAUAGAACCGCGUUAUGUCCAUGGACGGCAACGUAAACCGAUAGCCGUUUCGCGUCGAACGCAAGUCCGUCAGACUAUCAAUGUACCGGAAAUGGUGUAUAGAUUGCUGAACGCCACGAAACAUAACCAAGGUAGAGGAGAGGAUGAAAGGAUACCCCAAGGUAGAGUACGGAAAUAUGAAAGUCUUAGAGAAUCCUCGUACGAUAGCUUGCCCCUUCAUGAAAGCACGAUAUCGGUCGAUGGGUCCAAGUACACGAAAUCUGGAGCAACGUCUACAGAGAACACGUCGAGGGUAAUGGACGCUACGAAUAGCUCGGAGGGCAGCGUAUCCUGGAACAGUAGCGUAUCGAAUAUCUCCGUUGAACCGAUUACUCUCGUAAAUACGAUCGAUAACACCAGGGCGCUUCUGAAAAAGAAAUCUCUCGUCCAGGUUAUCAAUAGUUAUAUCAAAGCUGGUAUCGAGGAAGGUAAACGACAGGCGAAGAAGUAUAUUCGUAAGGCACUUUCGUUUGGCAUGAAAUCUGGUUACCUGAUCCCGGCUGACCGGCAAGGACAGGUGCUCCACGUGUCUCCGACGUUAGUAGAAAGCCGACGAAGCGACUCAGAAUCACGCAGAAGACGUCGAAGGACACGAAGGGGCGAGGAGGAGCCGUUUACCGAUCGUAAGGAGCAUCGCAAGGAAACACCACCGUGGAAUACGAAACGGAAACGACAUCGUGAGCCCACACCAUCGCCAAUGGCACCUCUCAAAAAGAGGAAAAAGAGAUCUACCUCGAAGAAUCCGGAAUCGAAAGUGGAUACCGUGAAAGCCACCCCGAAGAAGAAGCCUGUGGAGUCUGUUCGAAAUAAACCAUUGAAGAAAAAGAACAACGCGAUUACGAAGAAAAGAGGUAAGGUGACGCACACGACUCUUUCCCUUUCAUCGAAGGAACCUCGCGAGAAAGUGAAGAGCGUGGAGAAAACGAGAAGCAAACACAAAAACGAGGUAACGGAAAGGAGACGAAGUCGUAGCGAUCAAAACAGAAGAUCCCCGUCGACGAGAAACAACGAGAAGGAGAAUCGCAAGAAGGAACGUCGAGGGUCCAGCAACGAGGACAAUGACAGCGUAAAGUUCAUUGAAACCGAAGUCAACGAGAGGACAACGACGGAGAGGCGAGGAUCGGAAUCCAGUCGAGAGGAUGUCCCACGGGAUAACGAUGUAUUGCCAGGAAAUCCUGGCAAAGAAGUUGAAGAACCUUUAGAAACGCCCAGCAACGAAGACAAUGCUCUGAGAAACAUAAAUUGAUCGACCAUUUCCUGUACCAUUUUUGUUUUUUAAUGAAAUAUUUGUCACAUUUUGGACAAUACCAUGAAUUUUCGACGAAUUUAGAAUUGUUAGAUACACAAAUUUGUUGAUUUGAUUUUGUAAUAAAGUUAUUUGGAGAAAAUGAAAGACGAGGAUAGACUGAGAAGGAUAAGGUGGUGUAAAUUUACUCGAAGGACUUGAGAAUCCCUUCAUCGAAAGGCUAUGUCUUCAACAGCCUUCAGGUUGACAAGGACGUUUCUAAAACUAAUAAAGUCGACAAUUUCUGAAAAUUUGUAUCCCAGUUAUGUUUCCAGGAAUCAUGGAAUCAAUGAUACUCUUAGCAACGACAAUUUUACAAUUCGCGGUAGAACUCUUUU